ensembl:lncRNA
AUGCUGAUGAAGAAACGGUUUUAUUGUUUUGAUGAAUUAUUUGUGCUGCUCUACAGUGCCAGAGUACAUGCCCUCUCCUCGUGUGUCCCCAUUGUCCUCGUCCUCACUCAGAGUGAGCUGAGAGAUGCCACAGGACAAAGACGUCAGGGGCGAAGUGACUGAGUAUAGAGUCAACCUUCACCAAGAACAAAUGUCCAACCCAUAUGCUCCACCUAUAGUAACACAGGUGCUGUACAGUGGAUCAGAACAGGAGCAGAGUUACACGGCGGGAGGACUGAAGGCAGUACAGUUUUACAGUUACUGUGUGCAACAGACAGGGAUGCGUUUGCAGUCCACCUGCAUCAGGCCACACUCGGCCCUCUGGAUAGCAAGUGUCCUGGGACAGGUGAGGGAGUGAGUGGUGAGCUGGUGGAGCUACUCAGGAAGGACAUCCAAUUCCAGAGAGAGACAGAAGAGAGAAGAGCACAGGAGAGCAGGUAGAAAAUGGAGAGACUGUUUUCUCUUCUUGAGAGAAUGCUUAACAAAUAAAUUAUCAGCCAUGCUCUGAUAGGCAAGAAAAAACAGUGGGUACAUUACAAUUGUUCAAUAUCUUUUUUUUUAAAUGUCACAUUUUCAAUGAAACAACCUAAUUUCUGUAGUUUAUUUUUGUGAUGUAAGUUCAAAAUGAAAUGAAUAAGUUGUAUACAUUAUUCAUUUUUGUAGUGUAAUUUAUUUGUUAAUGAGCCUGAGUACUUUCUGUACAUUUUGUAUUUUAGUUUUGCAUAUUCACAUAAUUAUGUACAUUGUUCAUUUUUUUAAUGCAGCUUAUACUUUUUUCACAAAACAUUCUUCUAUACGUUUAUUUAUUUAUUUUUGUCCUGUAAAUAUUUCUUUUUACACAUUAAAACAAAUUGUUCUAUACAUUACUGAAAGUACUUUUUACAACUAUAGCUUAGGUUUAACAUCAGAAAAAAAGAAAAGAAAAGAAAAACAUAAAUUUUGAAUCUAGCUCUACCUCCAUGUGUUCUGGGGUCUUCAGGAAAUGAAUCUCUUGGUGGCAAAUGGCCACCACCUCCUCAGCGACUCGGAGGGCAAUGUGGUGACAGUGGAACGAGGCAUUUCAAACACCCUGGAGAGUGGAGACCACUCUGUAUGAUGUAAUACUGGCCAGACAGAAGUCUGCUUCCCUUUUCCCUUUUCUUUGCUUCCCUUCUCCUUUUCUUCAUUUUCCCCAAUAUCUUUGUCUCUCCCUUUUUUCUUGUACCUGUCACUUCUUCACCAGCAGGUCUACUGUUAGGAUUGGAACUAUGUCCACCUUGUUGCAAAAUGACCACCUCACAAUUUAUCACAGAAUGUUAUCUUAAAAUGAGUUAAAUACCCGAGAUUUGACAAACCUAUAUUUCAUACAAAUAUAUCAAAACACAAAUGUCAAAAUCAGUACAAUAUCUUUUUUUGAAAAAUCCUAAUACUGAACACACUAUUGCAUUAUUAGGCUGUGAUAUUUUUGUGUUGCUGAAUACUCAAGCUCCAUUCCUACCUAUACAAAAAAUCCAUUUGAAUAUCUGUCUGCUAAAUUUAUCGAUAAUGAUCAUCGAUAAUGAUGUCCUUUAGUACAGUAUUCUGAAUGAUGAUAAUAAGCCUGACAGGUGCUAGCAGUUUAAUAGUCAACUAGUUUAAUAAAGACAAAACUCUUUAGCAUAUUAACAGAUGAAACUGACCUGCAUCUGAAGCCCUGAACAGGCAUUUUUUCUCUCUUUCCUCGAGUCCCGCACAUUGAUUCUGUUCAUAACCUUUUCACGGAAGCGUGGAACAGAAGUGAGCCGAUUCGUAUAGCGCAGCCCUGCCAGUCAAGACUAACCGAUUUAUGAUGUAUUAUCUAUUUAUUAUCGUAUGACAAAAUCAGAAAUUAUCAAACUGGUACAUUGAGAAGGCAAAAAUAAAAAAUAUUAAUACUAAUAAUAAUAAAAAUAAAUAAAUAAAAAACAGGGCAGUGGGCCAAAUCAGCCACCAGGCCAACGGGAAUUCACCCAGUGCUUCCGAUGGCCAGUCCGGGCCUGCCACCUGUCCUGGCAGGAUGGCAGCUCUCCUCUCGCACCAUUGCUAUGCUACAGAGCGCUAAUUGGGAAUCUCUGGUGGCUCAAUUAGGAAAUCCUGCGAAGGCGGAACAUCCUUCGUGCACUUACGUGGGUCCUUCGUGCACUUUGGAGGCGUGGCCUUCAUGGUGUGUGCACUUCAAUUUUGGAAACAGCUUAUGUGUGUGCAUUAAAAUGCAGCAGCAAUUAGAACGGUGAUUAACUUACCUGUACAAUAAGCUGUUUAAAACGUGCAUUCUCCCGUUCAAUUUCGAGCAUCCAGUAAUAUAAUCGCACGUCUUGACGACGCUUUCAAAAUAUAAAUUUAUUUGUCAUUUUAACUGUUUGGAAACGUAAAUGUAUACCUAUUUCUUAUCCUGUUGCGCCCCCUAUAGGACCAGCGACUAGUCAACGUCAAGCUUAUAGCGUCAUGGCAGAGCAUCAAAGUCGACUAGUUGAUUAGUCGGUGCAAACCCUACUAUAUACUGUAUUUUAUUUUUUUAUUUUAUUUUUUAUUUUGCAGAGUAACCAAAGUGUACAAAAUUGUUUAAAAACAGUUCUUAAGCUCAAACACUUAUCAUUAUUACAAUAAACUUCACACUGUAUGUUCAGUAAUUAUUUAUGUGGUAUAAACUAAAAAAAUGGCAAUUUUGUAAAUGCAUAAAUAGUAGAUGUGUGAUCCUCCAGCAUAACACAUGGAUCAGAGAUUAGGCAGUUAAAAACCCCUGUGUUACACUACGCAUUCGUAGAACACAUGAAACUGGCCCAUCUUACCCCAUACAUGUAUUCUUAUCUUAGACUUUCCAGAUUUGUCCUUUUACUAAUUGUACAGGAAGGAACAAUGUACUUCUUGACAAUGAGCAGCCUCAUUUCCCCCUUCAGUUUUUUCCCUUUGCCUUUAUUUUGCCAUUUACACAUCGGCUCACGUGACUGCUUAAUGAGUUAAACCAACCCCUCAGUCAAGAUUCUUCACUCCGCUUCUUACUACUUCAUUUGCGGCCCAAGCCGAGAAAUUCAUUGUGCGGCAGUAAAAACAAUUUACUGUUAAUUACAAGGAGAAAAAUGUGCCGUAGCGCUCUUCCCGAUUGCCAUGAAUCACCACACACUCCCGGAGAUUUAUAAGGAAUAUGUAAGUAGGAUGAAUUAGCAGGGUUUAAUAACAGAGGCACAAAUCAUGCAGCCUUCAAGGGCCUUUAAUUGAUACAGUGGAAUGUGAUGGGCAUGAAUCAGUCAGGCUCGCAGCACCGCUGUAACAUAUGGUCAGCCCAAUAUGCUGCAGCCGAUGGAGCUGCCGAUGUCAUCGCCUCUUCCAUAUGGUGGGAGACUUUUAACGCUUUGCUUCUGUUUAUAGGGUUAUUACUGAAGGUUUUUUUUGUUUUUCAUCAGCAUAGGGUAUCAGUAGUUAAGGAUAUAAAUGUGUAUUUGCUUUGAUUCUUGUUGAUCUUUAAGUCUACUUGUACUUCCGUUUUCAUUGCUUGUGUCUGUCUGUGUGUGUGUUUUAAUACCAUUGUGUUGCUUUUUUUCUUUAUUUUUCAUAUGAAAGCUCAUUUUACAACCACUUAAGCUCAGUUUGCCAUGUCUCUAAUUCUUUAAUAUUCUGCUCCCACACAAGCUGCUCUUAACAUCCUCACACACCUCCUGUAUGUCUGAACAAACAGCACACUGACUAACCCAACACAACCUGUUGUCUCGACCACUCAAGCCUAUGUCUCCCUCAAGCCUUGUUUUCGCCCACUUCUCUGCCAGGAUUUAAUGUUGAUGAUUGCAAUUUAUUUGAGCCUUACCUCCGUUUUAUGGCUGUCUGUAUACACAAUGCACAUCACUAUUACAUCAAUGCACUAUUAGACAGCAUUACCAUCUGUUCAAACCAAGAAGUCAGCAUCUGCUUUCUCAGAGUGGAAUGACAUCAAAUUGCUUUAAAUAGCACACCACUGAAAUGAGCAGAGACACUUAAGUUAUUCAUAUCUUCAUAGCAGAAUGGUUAAACUGUAGAUUAAUGGUUCUCAUAGCUAUAGAACACAGUAGUGGAGAUAAACAGUUUGUUUCAAGUUUCAAGUUUAUUUGUAUAGCGCUUUUUACGAUACAAAUCAUUGCAAAGCAACUUUACAGAAAAUUAAGUUUCUACAAUAUUUAGUAGUAGCUUAUCAGUGGUGACUGUCAGUUUAUGUGUAUACGGCAGAAAUGUUCAGAAAAAUCAAUAAAAUAUGUAAACAAACAGACGAUUAACACUAUUAACAGCAAUUAUGCAAUCAAACUUAGAGCAAAAUGUGGUAGUUCUGUAUGUUGUCUCUGGGUUAGCAUCAUCUGAGGUCCUCUGAGGGGUUGGCAUCAUCUCUUCUCAGGUGUUCUGGAUCCAGACUGGAUGUAAAUCCCGUGGCAAAACAGAGAAACAACAGAGAAACAAAUUAGGGCUGGGCGAUAUGGCUUAAAAAAAAAUCCCAGAUUUUUUCACCAAAAAUCCGAUUUACGAUUUAAAUCGAUUUUUUUUGCCCCCCCUACAAUAUUCAAAUGACAAAGAAAUUGUUCAAAACACGUUUUAAUAUAAUUCAUUAUUUAUUAUUUACCAGUCAAAUUUAUAACUGAGAAGAUGAUUUUUUAAAAUUUUUAUUUAAUACUAGCCCAUCAUGCAUCUAAUAAUCCACUCGGCGUUAAGAACUGUUAAAAUUGGCAACUAUGCAGUGAGUCAUUUUUUUUCUUAUAUAAAUUAUUUGUUUCCAAUAAUUUGAACUGUAUGAGUCAGAUUUUUCUUUUGAUUCAUAUUCUUUAAUGCAAUA